AUGAGAUACGAAAGGCAAAUGAAAGGGAUUUAAAUGUUUCACCUGUAGCUAAAAACCUAAAAAAAAGAACAUCAAAACAUCAUUCGAUACGAUACGAUACAAUUUCAUGUUUUUAUAUUAUGUACCUAUUCUUAUUUUAUUUUUCCAGCCGAGGAUUGUAAAUUGCGAUGGAAAAAUAUUCGCGAUAACUACUUAAAACAAAAAAGAAAACAAAAGCAAGGAACUGGUUCGGCAGCAUCAACAAGACCAUCAAAAUGGCAUUUAUACGAACAGCUAACAUUUUUGGAACUUCUCAAAUCUGAACGAAGCCGCAUUCAAAAUUGUAAUGUACAGCAAAACACCGAAUCAUCUCAGAAUACUCAGGAUAGCGGCGAUGAAGAUGUUCAAACUGAUUCGGAAUCGCAAUCAAGAAUAAUUGAAGACGACGUAGGAUCACCAGAUUCCAUACAUUUAAAUCAGCCAAAUCCGAAAAUACUAAAAAGAACAAACAUGGACGAUAGAAGCCGUUCAAACACGCCAACUUGCAGCAGUUCAACACCUAGCAACGCAAAAGCGAAAUUAUUACACGAAUUGGAAGAACGGUCUAAACAUCGUCUUCACGUUCUAUCACAAUUAACGCACCAAAAGGAAGAAGAUGAAGUGGAUUUAUUCAUGAGAAGCAUCGCUCUAAUGGUAAAAAAGCUACCUCCCAAUUUAAUAUCGCAAGCAAAGUUACAAAUCCUAACACUAGUGACUAAUUUACAAGCAUCUUCCCCAAUAAUAAAUAUUCCACAUACACAGACACAACCCCACCAACCACAGGCACCAACUCCAACAUUUUCCCUCAAUACUUCCCAUAAUACAAGUACACCUGACGAUCAUACGCCCACUACGUUUAUGACACCCUAUUCAAACGACUAUUACAACAUGAAAUAAACUUAUAUAUUGCUUUUGUUAAUUAAACGUGCAUUUUUGAUAAAA